rnacentral:lncRNA from 1 species
UGCUCAGUUCAGGUAUCACAUUUGUCAAAUGGUAUAAUCAUCUCUUCGCCUGAAGACAAGAGCCUGGGGAACUUCUCAAAUGCCAGCCAGCACUUAGCCAGCAAAACUCCUUGAAGGUAAAGAUGGCCAAAAGGCACACACCAUGAAGGACAGGAGUGCUGAAGUUUGAAACUGAAUGCUAUGCUCAAAGUCAAGUAAAAUGAAAGUUCUGCUUUUAAAGGGGGAAGAAACUUACAGGAGACAAAUGGGGAAAGCAAACGAUUCUAAGUGGGAUAGGUGUAGAACAUCAUAGGUAUGUAUGGGUUCAAGAUUAUAUGAGUGGAAUAUAUUAUCAUGGAUU